AUGAUGUCCAUUACCAAGCCGGAACACUCCGAGGCCAACCCUCAGUGCCAGACUGGCAGCCGGCCGGUGGCUGAGCCCGAGACCACUGCUGUUCACAAUAACAGUGGAGGCUGGCUCAGCUGGGUCUUUGGGAGUGGAAGAGUUAAUAAGGAGGAGGUUCAUCUACCUGAGGACAAAGACAGAUCUGUAAGGAACUGGUUAUUAACACUAUUCUAUGUAGAGACAAUUGAGUGGAUUAAAAUUUGUAAAAAUUGUGGCUCGCUUCACAUUGCUAAUAUCUUCUUCCUCAGAUUGUCUGGGAUCCAACUCUGCACAGAUGGGUUAACAAAACUGAGCCCAAGGCUGAGGUACACACUUAAAUUCAAUGAAAUUAAAAACAGUGAACAACCAUUGUAUUUCAACUGUGAUAAUAUUACUAACAAUUUGGAAAAUGUGUUGAUGUGUUUUUCAGAACAAGUGUGUACAACCACCUCCACGAAUGGGGACAUAUGGAUAUCAGGAGAACACUGGCAGUGUCCCCAAAAGAGUGAAUCCUUACUCUAUGAAACAGGUCUAUGGGGCAGCAGAUACCCUACAAUGCAUUACAAUGAUGAGACCAACUCAAAGCCUCAAAGCCUUGGGCCUGGACUGCUUCCUAGACAGCUCUCUGGCUUGCUCCCUCCUUCACACUUUGACCUCAUGGCACCAAUGGUUGUACCACCUGACACUCUACCCUACUGAGGUAUGUCUUUGGAAAAUCCUUCCAAAUUGUAUCCAUUCAUCAUUAAAUGAGAUUUUACUUUAACAUAGCAAAUGACUGAAGUAGCAAGGAUGUUAUCUAAUUUUUAUUUUUGUCCAACAGGCCAUUUGCCCAGAUUGGAUUUGCAAUACAUAGAUUUUUUCAGCAUUAAAAAACUUCAGCAUUAAAAAUGUAUUAAAAGAUGAUAUUUUAAUGAAUCUCUCCUUUGUGUCCUCAUGUUCACAUUAAUCUGAUGUGUUAUAUCAUCAUUUACAAUGCGUAUUGCUUCUGCAUUGCUUUACGUUACAGAAAAGUAUAUACACUGCUCAAAAAAAUAAAGGGAACACUAAAAUAACACAUCCUAGAUCUGAAUGAAUGAAAUAUUCUUAUUAAAUACUUUUUCUUUUCAUAGUUGAAUGUGCUGACAACAAAAUCACACAAAAAUGAACAAUGGAAAUCAAAUGUAUCAACCCAUGGAGGUCUGGAUUUGGAGUCACACUCAAAAUUAAAGUGGAAAACCACACUACAGGCUGAUCCAACUUUGUCCUUAAAACAAGUCAAAAUGAGGCUCAGUGUGUGUGGCCUCCACGUGCCUGUAUGACCUCUCUACAACGCCUGGGCAUGCUCCUGAUGAGAUGGCGGAUGGUCUCCUGAGGGAUCUCCUCCCAGACCUGGACUAAAGCAUCCGCUAACUCCUGGACAGGCUGUGGUGGAUGGAGCGAGACAUGAUGUCCCAGAUGUGCUCAAUUGGAUUCAGGUCUGGGGAACGGGUGGGCCAGUCCAUAGCAUCAAUGCCUUCCUCUUGCAGGAACUGCUGACACACUCCAGCCACAUGAGGUCUAGCAUUGUCUUGCAUUAGGAGGAACCCAGGGCCAACCACACCAGCAUAUGGUCUCACAAGGGGUCUGAGGAUCUCAUCUCGGUACCUAAUGGCAGUCAGGCUACCUCUGGCGAGCACAUGGAAGGCUGUGCGGCCCCCCAAAGAAAUGCCACCCCACAUCAUGACUGACCCACCGCCAAACCGGUCAUGCUGGAGGCUGUUGCAGGCAGCAGAACGUUCUCCACGGCGUCUCCAGACUGUCACGUCUGUCACGUGCUCAGUGUGAACCUGCUUUCAUCUGUGAAAAGCACAGGGCGCCAGUGGCGAAUUUGCCAAUCUUGGUGUUCUCUGGCAAAUGCCAAACAUACUGCACAGUGUUGGGCUGUAAGCUGUGGACGUCAUACCCCCCUCAUGGAGUCUGUUUUUGACGUUUGAGCAGACGCAUGCACAUUUGUGGCAUUUUGCAGGGCUCUGGCAGUGCUCCACCUGCUCCUCGUUGCAAAAAGGCGGGGAUAGCGGUCCAGCUGCUGGGUUGUUGGCCUCCUCCACGUCUCCUGAUGUACUGGCCUGUCUCCUGGUAGCGCCUCCAUGCUCUGGACACUACGCUGACAGACACAGCAAACCUUCUUGCCACAUCUCGCAUUGAUGUGCCAUCCUGGAUGAGCUGCACUACCUGAGCCACUUGUGUGGGUUGUAGACUCUGUCUCAUGCUACCACUAGAGUGAAAGCACCGCCAGCAUUCAAAAGUGACCAAAACAUCAGCCAGGAAGCAUAGGAACUGAGAAGUGGUCUGUGGUCCCCACCUGCAGAACCACUCCUUUAUUGGGGGUGUCUUGCUAAAUGCCUAUAAUUUCCACCUGUUUGUUGUCUAUUCCAUUUGCACAACAGCAUGUGAAAUGUAUUGUCAAUCAGUGUUGCUUCCUAAGUGGACAGUUUGAUUUCACAGAAGUGUGAUUGACUUGGAGUUACAUUGUGUUGUUUAAGUGUUCACUUUAUUUUUUUGAGCAGUGUAUUAUACACAUAUUUUAUUUUAAACUUUACAAAAACAUAUUUUUGUGCUUUUUGGAUUUCCAAC
ensembl:lncRNA